rnacentral:misc_RNA from 1 species
UACAUAGGGUGCAAGCGUUAAUCGGAAUUACUGGGCGUAAAGCGCUCGUAGGUGGUUUGUUAAGUCUGCUGUGAAAGCCCCGGGCUCAACCUGGGAACUGCAUCCGAAACUGGCAAGCUAGAGUACGGUAGAGGGUGGUGGAAUUUCCUGUGUAGCGGUGAAAUGCGUAGAUAUAGGAAGGAACACCAGUGGCGAAGGCGACUGCCUGGACUGAUACUGACACUGAGGUGCGAAAGCGUGGGUAGCAAACAGG